UUUUGAAAACAAAACCAAUCUUGUAUUUCAAGUCAGAAAUACGAUACUGGCCACUUGUAGGAUUAAGAGUGAUGGUCGUAAUGAUCUUCCAAACACCCUCGGUUAAUCAGCUUUCAAACUUCUUGAUCUGCUCUCUUCUCACAGCAGCAUACAUCUUAUCACCCUAUAUGACAAAAAUAAUAUAAAUAAUAAUUAAUAAGGGAAAAUUAUGUUUGAACCUACUAUAAGGCUGGACAAAUUAUAA
rnacentral:sRNA from 1 species